CGUCGUCCUGAGCGGGUCGCCGUGCAGCCGUUCUGAUGCCUCGUUAGCCGCAUUGCCAGGGCGUGCCCUUGAACCUGGCAGGUCGCUGAGAGCUGAGGCGAAACUGUGAAUAAAUAGAAAGUCAAGAACUUUUCUCUCCUCGAUUUAUGAAGAACCUCAAAGAAAGGCCUCGGAGUAAAUUACUGUAAAGCCCCGAGGGCACUCUCAGCCCUUUGACCCUGAACCCAGCGCUGACAGUUACUAACUCGUGUUCCUGUUUCGGUCUGCUAAGUGUCUGGCCGGAGACAUUCCACCCGUGGCAGGCCGGUUAGUGUGCACACACAGCCGCCAACGGGCCAUAGCAGCAGCGCAGGUGACUCGCAGGUGGGCUGUGUGUGUGCUCCUCACCACAGCCCCGAGGGUGAGUCUUGCAGGUGACCAGCUCAGGGAAACCAAAGAUGCCGUUAAACGUGAAAACGUGGACUGUCAGUUGUUGCCCAGUAAGGCCAACCUUUAAAGUAGCUUAUUUUUGUAAACGUGCAGGGGAGGAGAUGUUAUCAGCGCCUGGGCGGAGUGUGCCUUGCCUCUUGGUACACACGUG